UAGAGAGUUUCAAAAUCACCAUUCCCUGAGUGAAGAAAUGUCUCCUCAUGUCAGUUUUAAAUGGCCUGCACAUUACUCUCAAACUAUGACCUCAGCCCUUGAUUUCACAGUCAGUGGAAACAUCCUCCUUGUAUGUAAUCUGUCAAGCCUUUUUUAAAAAAAGUUUGUAAGAGCAAUCUACUGUCAUACAUCUAAAUUUAAAGACUGCAAAACUAGUCUACUCAAUCUCCCCUUCAAUAGCAGACGUCACACCCAGAAUCAAUCUAAUAAGUAACAACAGAAAAUGCUGGAAAUAUUCAGCAGGUCAAACAACAUCUAUGUUUCAAGCCCAAGAUCUUUAAUCAGUUAACUGAUGCUGCUCUGCUGAGUUUCCAGCAUCCUCUGUUUUCUUAGACUACUAACAUCCUGCAAUUUUAUUGAUUUUCAUCAGGCCAGUAAGUCUUCACGAUUCUAUACUAAACCAUUCUUAGGUAAUAUGACCAAAACUGUACUUCAGGUGCAGUUUUACUAAGACCUUGUUCACUCACAAUAAGGCAUUCUUACUGCUGUAAAGGCUAAUACACAAUCAGCAUUCCCAGUCAUUUGCUGAAUCUGUAUGUUGGCAUUCAAGCUCACUUGGAUCCCUUUGCAUAAUAGAAGAUGUAGCUUCCAGUUCCUUUCUGUGGCAGGUAGUGAGCAAACCAAUACAAGGAAUAAACCUACCAGUCCUCACCAAUUUAUCAAUGAUAGAUGCAUCUAUGCCUGAUAUAUUGAUUGAUAUAUAAAUGACCUGGAUGAAACUAUAGAUGGUGUUUAGAAAGUUUGUAGGCGGGACAAAGAUUAGUCAUGUUAUGGGUAAAUUAGAAGAUUGCAAAGGAUAUAGUAAGAUACAGAUCAUUUGCAGAUACAGGCAGAGAAAUAGCAGAUGGAGUUUCAUGCUCUACUUUGGGAGAUCAAAUGUAAGGAAACAUAAUGCAGGACCUUUAAUAGUGUUGAUGGACAGAGAUAUCUAGGGGUUCAAAUCCAUAGAUCUCUGAAAGUGGCUGUACAGUUUGACAGGGUGGUGAAGAUGUGUGGUAUUUGACUUCGAUUGGUAGAGAUGUUGAGUUUAUCAUUUGGGAAGUUACGCUACGUUGCAGCUUUAUAGAACCCUGGUUAGGCCACAUGUGGAGUAUUGUGUUAUUUCUGGUCACGCUGUUUUAGGAAGAAUAUGGAGGAUUCUGAAGAAGUUCAGCAGGAUGCUGCCUGGAUUAGAAGAUAUGGUAAUGAACAAUAUAAGAAUACAAGAUGAGACCCAGAGGACUGAUGGGAGCAGAGCUGUAUACACUGUCUACUACAUGGUCUUUAACAAGACCCUGUAUCUUAUGCUGGUCUGUAAGAUGAGAACACAUGGGAUCCAGGUUCCAGCAUCUACAAUUGUAUUUGUUUUCUGACGACGCUGGAAAUACCCAGGGCGGUGAUCGUGUACGAUAUUCACAUUUCAGCAGCUUCUGCGAUCCCCUCUCAAGGUGCCAGAAAUUACUGCUCAUCCACUUGUUUAUGGCAGCCAAACCAGAAGUCGGAGAAGAUAGGGUGUUAUCAUCGUCAAGAUCAACAGAGAUAUACAAUUGUGUGUCAUCUGCAUAACUGUGAAAGUCAAGUUUAUGCUCUCUAAUGAUGUCUCCAUGCGCAAGAAGGAAAGUAAGGGGCCAAAACAGUUUCCGACCAACACCAAAAGAUACGUGUAACUCUUCAAAACAAACAAAAUUUUUCUCUCUAAUACAUAGAGUAUGAACAAAACCAAUUAAGGGCACUAUCAGAUAGGCCAACCGAGUUCUCAAAGUGAUCUAGCAGAAUGCUGUGGUCAAUUGUGAAGAUAGCACUUAGAUAUAGAAGAAUUAGAACUGGGGCUCUGUUGGUAUCGGUGCUGAGCUGAAGGUGAAGGUCACUGACAGUUUUGGUUAAGUGCCAUCUCCAUGCUGUGGUUUGCUCUAAAACAAGAUUGAAGCUUUUCUAUAAUAAUGUUAUCAUCCAGAAAGUUCAGUUGGUUGGAAAUUCCUUCCUCAAGAACCUUACCUCAGAGUCAGUCCUGUAGUUAGCUAGUACCUCACUAUCAGGGUUUGGCAUUUUAAAUAGGGGUGUGACAGCCACAGCUUUGAAGGCACCUGGAAAAUCUAGUUUCAAGAGAUGCGUUAAUAAUUUACCAAACGAAAUUAAAAGUACUUUUAAAAGAGUUUUUAAAACUUUUAAAAUAGUAGGACAGGAUCAAGGCAGCAAGUAGACUGUUCACUCUUUGUUACAAAUUUAUAGAGUUCUGAAUUAGAAAUACUUGUAAAUUUUGACAUAGUUGCUGCUUUUUUAAGAGGUUAGCUACAGACGUUACCAAUAUUUAUAAUUAUACUCUCCCUAAUGGAAGUAAUUUUGUUGAUAAAAAUUAUUACAAAUUCCUCACAUUUUGUGAUAGUAGUUUUGAGAUCAGCUCUGCUGAGAGGAAGAUUUUUCAAAACAUUUAGUUAUUUAUCUAGUCCCAAUGAACUGUGAAGACUUUUGAUUUCAUAUAUCUACAUCAUUGUUCUGGAUUUAUAGGACAUAAUUGUCACAAGGAAAAAGAAUAAAUUUGUAGUGAGUUGAGCUCUCAAGUUACCUAGGAAUGUGAUGGGAGCAAAUCACAAGGACAAUAGCAAUGUAUUACUCCACCAGCUGUGUACUAUUAAGUGAUCCCUAUCCUAAGCACCAGCUUGCAUUUCCUCCCUUCCCACUGGGUCCGACAUACCGAACCUAUAUAAUUAGCUAUUGAUGUGUCAGGGAAAAAAUGGGAGGUCAAUCUUAAGGCUGUUAAAGUCAAUGCCAAAACCCUAAAUGUUGCAAAAUACCUCAGCUGUCACUUGAACUUACUUAGACCUCCGAUGAGACAGUGUUAAAAGCCAAGACCCUGAAGGUCAGAGUGGAACUGUGAACUAAAAUAGGUAACCGUAAAUUUGUGUAUCCGCAAGUCAGGCACGGAUUCUGCUCACCUUAUAUAAAGUGAUAACAUCAUCUUUCAUUCUUCACAAGUAUUUCCCAAUCUGGUGAGCGUGUCACUAAAUUUUGUUUGCUUGCUUUUGUUUCAGAAUUCCAGGAGUAUAAUAUUCUGUCAUUUGCUUACAUGCUGAAAUUCGUUGAACAGAGCUGGAGGCGGUGACCUUCUAAAUCAGAGGGAGGAAUGUUGCCUCUGAGCCAAGACUGACUGUUUGCAAUGCAUUUAGAGCACAGUCCUGCUAUUGAUAGGCUUUAUUCGAUAACUGAAAAAUUUGUGACUGAAUGACCUUUUGGCUUACUGGUAGCAUUUCCUGCUCCAAGUCAAAAAGUUAAUGUUUGAGCAAUGUAAUAAAAUCCCUGGUUAUGGAGAGUAAAACAAGUUCUCUGUCUUCAGAUCCACAUACCUGUAAGAAUAUACACAGUUGGAUUUUGUUCCAUUAUUCAUUCAGGUCAUGGCUGUUUAGCUUUGAACAUGAUCAGCAUCACUUUCCUCUCUAGUUCCUCAUUGUCCUAAAAUCUAAAUCAGCCUUGAAUAUUUUCAAUAAUUCACUUUCCAGUCUGUAAUGGAGAACUCCAAAGAUGCAUGAACUCUGAGAAAAGAAACUCCAUCUUAUCUCUGUAUAAAUAGUUGACCUUUUCUGGAACUAUAUCUUUUGAUUCUAGAUCUUUUUCAUGAGGGAAAACAUCCUCUCAGCAUUUAUUCUGACAAGCUGAAGAAAUCUUACAGGUUUCAAAAGGAACACUUCUCAUUCUUCUACACUUCUUAUUGAAAUGAGUAUGGACUGAAGCAGCAAAAUUGUUCUCCUUUUGACAAUCACUUCCUCCCAGGAAUCAAGCAAGUUUUUAAAGAGAUCAGCUUCAUUUGUCACAUGUAUAUCAAAACAUACAAUGAAAUGCAUCGUUUGCAUUAAAGACCAACACAAUGUGAAUAUCCCGGGGGGGGGGGGGGGCAGCCAGC